CCUCAGCAAGAAAAAGAGUCGUCUGGCUAGUUAGAUUAAACGGCGCCGUAAGCCAUUUUCCAGGAGGCAUAUUAAUCUGCGCACCACCUCUCUUACCAAGUUUAGAAAUGGCAGAAACCGCCCUCCCAAAAGCCUCUGUAUUUAAAGUAACUCCGUCUCCCACUCCCCCGAAAUCUGUUAAAUAAAAUACCACAUGUCUAAAAGAAGGGAUCGGCGUGGCAGACACUCCCCAUCUGAAAAAAGAAAAGCCUACGACAAUAAACUUUCGCAGCCAAAAGAAGACGGAAGCGAAGGCGGCCAUCCAUAGUAUAGAGAAAAGAAUCUUGUGCGAGGAGAGGAACGCAUGAUCUGCAUGUCAUGACGAGAAUAAUCUUUGGCAUGCAAAGCUUGUCACAUGUCCGUGGUAAUAACUCUCAGUUUCUUCAAAAUAACUCAUAUCAAGACGACAUCAUGAAGUGGAGUACAAGCUUCUACUGGAACGAAGCUAAUCUAUAGCACUUGGACCUCAGUCUCCUAAUGACAUCACCCAAAAAAACGAGACAAACAUAAGUCUUAACAUUCAUAGAGGUAAUGAUUAGUCAAGUUAAAUUGAAUUGGCAUACCCGACUGAAGAUAGUCAAGGGCAUUGAAAGCGGAACGGGUUUCAUUCAUUCAGAGUUUUCAUCUCAUGAACUUCCGCCUGGGAAUCCCAAGUCCAGCAUUGUUCUUCUCAAAGAAAAUUAUAGGCCACUGCUGACUGAUUAGGCCUUUCAUCCUCUAAUGCGACAGAGGCAUUGUUUGCGUACAAAACCCACGAGUUCAUUGAAUACAGGCACGUUUCUCCCAAGUCCGAUGUUUAUUGUUUGGGAAUUUUCAUUCUUGAAAUUCUAGAGGAAAAUUUCUGAGUCAAUUUCCGAACAAUGGGAAGGGAGGCGCUGAUGUUUUGGACUGACAGGAGAGAGAAAACUGAUGUUACAUCUUGUUGAUAUCUAUUUCUGAUUUAAUCCUCCAACGCUUUCUUGACAAGUUGGUGGCAGAUGCACGGACACGCGGAAUAACAAUAAAUGGCUAACCCAAUAAACUGUUAAGAUUUUCCUCGUCCCCAUCUCACCGUCACACCAAACCGGUGCGAAAAGAAUGUACAGAACGGCGGCGAAGAGCCUUGUAUACGGUGCCACCUCGGGUAAUAUUAGCAAAGUCCAUAUGGGGUUGCUCCCGAAUCCUCGGAAGAUCAUUAGCUCUUACCCUUUCUUAACUACUUCAGUUGAUUCUCAUUCAGUCCCUAAUCAACCUCCAAGCCUUCGAAUCCCUAAUGUUUCUGAUUCUUCUACUUCGUAUUUGUCUGUGGCGGAGGAAGCUCGACGAUUUAAGUGGCAGAGACCAGCUGUCGACUACCAAGACGAGCAAGCGCGACUACUUGAGGCCUCCCUGCCACACGUCGUUGGGAUGGACUGAAGCGGCUAUGAUUGCAGGAGCAAGAGUAGUCGGCGUUUCUCCUGCCAUCAUUGGAUCUUUCCCUAGAAAAGAAGCUGCACUUGUUGAGGUACUGUUUCAUUGAUCAGUCUAGACAUGCAGUGAUUUCAAUCAAACAUGCUUAGUUGCACUGCCCGGUUUCAGCUCAAAAAGUCAUUUUACUUUAAAAGUGACUUCUUUUUAUCUAUCUACCUGUUCAGUAUUUCAUGGAUGAUUGGCUACAAAGGCUUAUCGAUAGAAUUGAUUCAGGAGAGGAUUUACAGAACUUGAUUCCAAGUCAGUGCAUCUCCAAGCUCAUCAAAAUUAGUCUGGAAAUGCAAGCACCCUACAUUUCAAAGUGGCCACAAGCUCUUAGCAUCCAAGUACCAAUUAUUUUGCCCCUUUUUUUGGUAAAAGUGCUAGCUUUAGGUGGAGUUUUAACUCCUUGUAGAUCUGCUAUUCCCCUCUCCAGGCCCAACCCUUGAAUGUUUCCACAAGUUUUAAGCAGUGAGCAAUGUUGGUUGAUGGGAUUUGGCAUGCUCCUGGUGAUGAGGCCUCUGAUAUAGAUUGGUAUGUCAAGCGCACUAUCCUUGGAGGACUAUACUCAACAACUGAGAUUUACAUGCUGACCGGUAGUACCCCAGAGUGAAAGAUGCUUUUGAUCUGAAGAAGGCUAUUCAAGAUUUAAUGUCUCUUCCUUCCUGUUCCAGGCAACAUAUUUGGCAGAAGCUGUUGGUGCUAAUUUUUCAGAGAUGAACUUUGAUGGUUUCUAUGAUUUAAGUUAUUUCACAGGUACCAGACUUUGCUCUCUUGUGGUGAAACCAUUGUUCUUUCUCGAGGUAAAUGCUUCUGAUGGGGAAUUCAAAUUAGGAGAUGCUUUGUUUGUGUUGACAGUAUUUUGAUUGCUCAAUUUGCAUUGACUAUUUCCUUCCAUAUUCUGUCGUUUGCCAUUCAGGCGGCGGCUGAAGACCGUAAAGCACUGUAGCUGUUGCAUGGUUGAACCUAAUUUUUUUCUGGCCGAUCUGUAGGCCGCCCAACAAUGUUUGUAUUCUUUAUGGACAAUAUAACUGGAUUAAAUUAUCAUAAUCGAACUUCCAGUAAAAGUUCUACUCA